CUGUGACUGUGUCCCUUUCCCCCAUCUGCAGUUGCCGUUUUUGAUUUUCUUUCUUUCCUCCCCACUUCCAUCCGGAUCCUCUCCUAUUUCCUCCUUGGAUUUCUGUCUCUCAGGUUCUGUCUCUCAGGUUCUCCUCUCCGUAAAUAUUCUCUCCUCUCCCUCUCCGGGAUCCGUCCCCUCCCCCACGUGGAUCUGCCUCCCCGGCGCCCCCUCCUCAUUCAUCCUGGGAGAUGAAUUUGUCGCCUUAUUGGACGCCGAGGCCAGAGCCGUGUGAGGGGGCUCGGCCAGCGCUGUGCAUUUUCUUCAUGCAUAUUGAGGAGAUGGUAAUGAGCGCGUUUGCAUUGUUGCUUGGAAAUGUUGUGUUUCCUGCCGCAGUUCGCAGUUCGGAGUGGGCGAGGGUGGUGUGGGCCCAGGACAGCCCCUCAGUAGGCACCCGGCCUGGCGGCCGCCGCUGACCCUCUCCGGAUUCCCGGGCUCUGGGGGCCGGGGGAGGAAGCGACCUUGCCGAGCUCCUGACCCGGCCGCCGCCUCCUCCUCCGGUUUGUCCACAAAGGCCGUCGCGCUCCCCUCAUUAAAGCCUCGUUACAGGAACCCCCGGCUGGCUCGCGACGGCUCCUCCGAGCCCCCCUGCCCACCGGCCUCUGAGCCCCUCCCCUGAUUUGAGAGGCCUGUGAUGGAGCGCCACCAGAAAAUUAGUGCCUGACAACGUCGUCUAUUGGCAAUAAAUUGAGAUUCCAAGUGACACGUCGCGGGAUCAAACACAGCCACAUUGUUGUGUACCCUGCUCCGCUCGCUCCUCGUUAAUCUUGGAGGGCGCCUUGGCAUCGCUUGGCCAGGGGAGGUUGUAGGCAGGCCUUUCGGCUGUCAGGACUCGGAUCCUGCCUCUGCCCUGGCUGAGCCCACUUCAGUCAUUCAGGAGGGACUGACUGCCCCUCCCUGAUAAGGUCCAAGGCGCUCAGGAGGCGUGACCCAGGAACGCCUUUCAAUAAGCUGAAGGUUUAUUAAAGUCAGGAGCUUCGAGGGGCAAACUCUGAGUUAAGCUUGUGGGGAAUCGACGUGAGCCUUGCUGGGAAUUCAGAACAUCAAGGUCUGGCCUUGUCUGGAAUUGUCUGGUGUCGAGUUUCCCAAACUUCAAGCUUCCCGCUACUACCUUUAUUAUUUACUUAACAUUUUUCCUUAAAUUGACUCAUUUUUAAAAUCAAAGUACAUAUUUUUGGAAAGAAAAUCUGAUACUACCACUGUAAAUUGAAAAGUAGCUGUUACUCACCAGAAAAGGAAGUGGUAAAAGAUAAACACAGCUAAAACCAAGCAAUGUUAAUACAUGUUAGCCGUUUUGCUGGCUUGGAAAGACUCCUAGAGGCUCAGGUGUGUGUGUGUCAUUAGCAAGUGUUGGAAGUGUUAAAUACUGAAUCUUUCUCGGAAGAAAUGAGACAAUUGAAAAGAGAAUGUUUCUCACUA
rnacentral:lncRNA from 1 species